UACGGGGGGGGGCAAGCGUUGUUCGGAAUUACUGGGCGUAAAAGGCUCGUAGGCGGCCAACUAAGUCAGACGUGAAAUCCCUCGGCUUAACCGGGGGAACUGCGUCUGAUACUGGAUGGCUUGAGGUUGGGAGAGGGAUGCGGAAUUCCAGGUGUAGCGGUGAAAUGCGUAGAUAUCUGGAGGAACACCGGUGGCGAAGGCGGCAUCCUGGACCAAUUCUGACGCUGAGGAGCGAAAGCCAGGGGAGCAAACGGG
rnacentral:rRNA from 1 species